UACGAAGGGUGCAAGCGUUGCUCGGAAUUAUUGGGCGUAAAGCGCACGUAGGCGGCUCUAUAAGUCGGAUGUGAAAUCCCUCGGCUCAACCAAGGAAGUGCAUUCGAAACUGUAGAGCUUGAGUAGUUAAGAGGAUCGCGGAAUUCCCGGUGUAGAGGUGAAAUUCGUAGAUAUCGGGAGGAACACCAGUGGCGAAGGCGGCGAUCUGGGAACAUACUGACGCUGAGGUGCGAAAGCGUGGGGAGCAAACAGG
rnacentral:rRNA from 1 species